rnacentral:rRNA from 1 species
AACUUGGUCAUUUAGAGGAAGUUAAAGUCGUAACAAGGUUCCCGUAGGUGAACCUGCGGAAGGAUCAUUA